rnacentral:rRNA from 1 species
GUUAAAAAGCUCGUAGUCGGAUGUUUCGAACGGUUGCUAAUUUGCAUGAUGUGCCGAAAGGCGCGUCGUUUGGCAGGUUACCCGUUUGACUUUGAAGUGGACUCACGUGUCAGUUAAUUCUGUCUUGCGUGAUGUGAAGCUUUUCUUGCACUGUGAAUAAAACGAAGCGCUCCAAGCAGUUUGGAAAGACUGAACGAUAAAGCAUGGGAUGCUGUCAGAAGAUCUUGGGAUGACGUGUUGUCGGUGAUGUUGUGAUCCUAGAUAAUGAUUACAGGAGCAGUUGGGGCGAUUGGUAUUGCAGGGGUACCGGUGAAAUGGAGAUCCUUGCAAGACUAACGAAAGCGAAAGCAUUUCGCAAGGAUGUUUUCAAUGAUCAAGAACGAAAGUCAUGGGAUCGAAGAGGAUUAGAUACCCUCGUAGUCAUGACCGUAAACGAUCCUGACUAGGAAUCGGUGGCAUUGCAUAUGUGCUGCCGGCGCCUUAGGGAAACCAAAGUUAUUGAGGUCUGGGGGGAGUAUGGAUGCAAGUCUGAAACUUAAAGGAAUUGACGGAAGGGCACCACCAAGCGUGGAGCUUGCGGCUUAAUUUGACUCAACACGGGAAAACUUACGGGGAUAGGACAAUGGAAGGAUGGACAGGCUGAAGCCCUUUCCAGAUUCUUUGGUUGGUGGUGCAUGGCCGUUCUUGGUUCGUGAAUUGAUUUGUCUGGUUUAUUCCGUUAACGAACGAGAC